rnacentral:lncRNA from 1 species
AAUACUUUUGGAUUAUUGUUUCAUAUUUUUCAUUUUUUUUAUAUCUAUUCCCCUCAUUAAUCACCCCUAAAGAUAUAAAUAAAAUUAUUCAAGAAAAUAGAACCCAAAUCCGCUGUAGCAAAACUAAACUGGGCUAAAUUGUUCAUCCAGGUUCGACUCCUGGCAGCGGAAAUUACUUUUGGAUUCUUUCUUUUGUAUUUUUCAUUUUUAUAUCCAUUUCACUCACUAAUCACCCCUCAAUCUAUAAAUAAAAUUAAUUAAAAAAUAAAACACAAAUCCCUAGUAGCAAAACUAAUCUUGGCCAAUUUGUUCUUCCAGAUUUAAAAAUCGUUUUUAAACUUUUUUCUUCUUUCCAAUUUUAUAUCUAUACCACCCACUAAUCACCCAUAAAGAUAUAAAUACAUUAUUCAGGAAAAUAGAACACAAAUCCGCUGUAGCAAAACUAAACUUGGCUAAUUUGUUCAUCUAGGUUCGACUCCUGGCAGCGGAAACUACUUUUGGAUUAUUUUUUUGUAUUUUGUAUAUCUAUUCCACUCACUAAUUACCCAAAAAGGUAGAAAUACAAUUAUUCAAGAAAAUAGAACAAAUAUCCGCUGUAGCAAAACUAAACUUGGCUAAUUUGUUCAUCCAGGUUCUACUCCUGGCAGCGGAAAUUACUUUUGGAUUAUUUUUUUGUAUUUUUCAUUUUUUAUAUCUAUUUCACUCACUAAUCGCCACUUAAGCUAUAAAUAAAAUUACUGAAAAAAUGAAAUACAAAUCCAUAGUGGCAAAACUAAUCUUGGCUAAUUUUUUCUUUCAGGUUCCACUCUUGGCAGCGGAAAAUACUUUUGGAUUCUUUUUAUUGUAUUUUUCGUUUUUAUAUCCAUUUCACUCACUAAUCAUCCCUCAAGCUAUAAAUAAAAUUAUUGAAAAAAAAGAACAAAAAUCCGCAGUAGCAAAACUAAACUUGGCUAAUUUGUUCAUCCAGGUUCGACUCCUGGUAGCGGAAAAUACUUUUGGAUUAUUGUUUUAUAUUUUACGUUUUUUUGAUAUGUAUUCCACUCACUAAUCAUCCAAAAAGACAUAAAUAAAAUUAUUCAAGAAAAUAGAACACAAAUCCAUUGUAGCAAAACUAAACUUGGCUAAUUUGUUCAUCCAGGUUCGACUCCUCGCAGCGAAAAAGACUUUUGGAUUGUUUUUUUUUGUAUAUUUCGUUUUUAUGUCCAUUUCACUCGCUAAUCACCCCUCAAGCUAUAAAUAAAAUUACUUAAAGAAAAAACACAAAUCCGCUGUAGCAAAACCAAACUUGGCUAAUUUGUUCAUCGAGGUUCUCCUUUUGGCAGCGAAAAAUACUUUUGGAUUCUUUUUUUCUUGUAUUUUUCGUUUUUAUAUCCAUUUCUAUCACUAAUCACCCCUCAAGCUAUAAAUAAAAUUACUUAAAGAAAAAACACAAAUCCGUUGUAGCAAAACUAAACUUGGCUAAUUUAUUCAUGCAGGUUCAACUUUUGGCAGCAGAAAAUACUUUUGGAUUCUUUUUAUUGUAUUUUUUGUUUAUAUCCAUUUUACUCACUAAUCAUCCCCCAAGCUAUAAAUAAAAUUACUAAAAAACAAAAAACUAAAAUCCGCUGUAGCAAAACUAAACUUGGUUAAUUUGUUCGUCCAGGUUCGACUCUUGGCGGCGAAAAAUACUUUUGGAUUAUUGUUUCAUAUUUUUUAUUUUUUUUAUAUCUAUUCCCUCACUAAUCACCCAUAAAGAUAUAAAUAAAAUUAUUCAAGAAAAUAGAACCCAAAUCCGUUGUAGCAAAACUAAACUUGGCUAAUUUGUUUAUCCAGGUUCGACUCCUGGCAGCGGGAAUUACUUUUGGAUUAUUUUUUUUGUAUUUUUCGUUUUUUCUAUCUAUUUCACUCACUAAUCGCCCCUCAAGCUAGAAAUAAAAUUACUUAAAAAAUAAAACACAAAUCCGUAGUUGCAAAACUAGUCUUGGCUAAUUUGUUCUUCCAGGUUUGAAAAUCGUUUUUAAACUUUUUUCUUCUUUCCAAUUUUGAUAUCUAUUCCACUCACUAAUCACCCAUAAAGAUAUAAAUAUAUUAUUCAAGAAAAUAGAACACAAAUCCGUUGUAGCAAAACUAAACUUGGCUAAUUUGUUCAUCUAAGUUCGACUCCUAGCAGCAA